rnacentral:rRNA from 1 species
GAUGAACGCUGGCGGCGUGCCUAAUACAUGCAAGUCGAGCGAACAGACGAGGAGCUUGCUCCUCUGACGUUAUCGGCGGACGGGUGAGUAACACGUGGAUAACCUACCUAUAAGACUGGGAUAACUUCGGGAAACCGGAGCUAAUACCGGAUAAUAUAUUGAACCGCAUGGUUCAAUAGUGAAAGACGGUUUUGCUGUCACUUAUAGAUGGAUCCGCGCCGCAUUAGCUAGUUGGUAAGGUAACGGCGUACCAAGGCAACGAUGCGUAGCCGACCUGAGAGGGUGAUAGGCCACACUGGAACUGAAACACGGUCCAGACUCCUACGGGAGGCAGCAGUAGGGAAUCUUCCGCAAUGGGCGAAAGCCUGACGGAGCAACGCCGCGUGAGUGAUGAAGGUCUUCGGAUCGUAAAACUCUGUUAUUAGGGAAGAACAAAUGUGUAAGUAACUAUGCAUGUCUUGACGGUACCUAAUCAGAAAGCCACGGCUAACUACGUG